rnacentral:rRNA from 1 species
AACGAACGCUGGCGGCAUGCGUAACACAUGCAAGUCGCACGACCCGCUCUGUCAUUGCGGCGCGCGUGUGGACCCCGUAGGGGCGGGUACAUAGGGGUGGGCGAUCACAGUGAAACUGGCCUGACUAUCCCAUAUGAACAGAUGACCAAACUGGAUAGGCGGCUUUGGAUCUGCCUGCGUCCGAUUAGGUAGUUGGUGGGGUAAAGGCCUACCAAGCCCGCGAUCGGUAGCUGGUCUGAGAGGACGACAAGUCACACUGGGACUGAGACACCGCCCAGACCCCUACGGGAGGCAGCAGUGGGGAAUAUUGGACAAUGGGCCGAAGCAUGACGCAGCCAUGCCGCGUGCGUGAAGACGGUCUUCGGAUCGUAAAGCCCUUUUCAAGGGGAUGAUAAUGACGGUACCCGUACAAGAAGGCCCGGCUAACUCCGUG